rnacentral:rRNA from 1 species
GAUGAACGCUGGCGGCGUGCCUAAUACAUGCAAGUCGAGCGAACGGACGAGGAGCUUGCUUUUCUGAUGUUAGCGGCGGACGGGUGAGUAACACGUGUAUAACCUACCUAUAAGGCUGGGAUAACUUCGGGAAACCGGAUCUAAUACCGGAUAAUAUUUUGAACCGCAUGGUUCAUAAGUGAAAGACGGUCUUGCUGUCACUUAUAGAUGGAUCCACGCUGCAUUAGCUAGUUGGUAAGGUAACGGCUUACCAAGGCAACGAUGCAUAGCCGACCUGAGAGGGUGAUCGGCCACACUGGAACUGAGACACGGUCCAGACUCCUACGGGAGGCAGCAGUAGGGAAUAUUCCGCAAUGGGCGAAAGCCUGACGGAGCAACGCCGCGUGAGUGAUGAAGGUCUUCGGAUCGUAAAACUCUGUUAUUAGGGAAGAACAUAUGUGUAAGUAACUGUGCACAUCUUGACGGUACCUAAUCAGAAAGCCACGGCUAACUACGUG